rnacentral:rRNA from 1 species
UACAGAGGGGGCAAGCGUUGUUCGGAAUUACUGGGCGUAAAGGGCGCGUAGGCGGCCCGCUAAGUCGAACGUGAAAUCCCCGAGCUCAACUCGGGAACUGCGUCCGAUACUGGUGGGCUUGAAUCCGGGAGAGGGAUGCGGAAUUCCAGGUGUAGCGGUGAAAUGCGUAGAUAUCUGGAGGAACACCGGUGGCGAAGGCGGCAUCCUGGACCGGCAUUGACGCUGAUGCGCGAAAGCCAGGGGAGCAAACGGG